rnacentral:tRNA from 1 species
UCCUUCAUGGCUCAGACGGUAAAGCAUCUGCCUACAAUGUAGGAGACCUGGGUUCAAGAUACCCUGGAGAAGGAA